GGAAUGUAGCCCAUUCGGUCAUCCCGGGUAAAACCUGGCCUGAAGGGGACCAUGGGGGCACCAGAGAUGCCCUGCUGAGACUGCCCUCCCCUGCCAAGGAUGGCGUGAACAGUUUGAGCUGCUCAGGCAUUCUGGGUUGGUGUGGCCAUUUGGCCCGAGAACAUUCAGUCCAGCGGCUGGUUAAUACACACUCACCGUUGGUGUGGCGCCGGGGUGGGUAGAUGGACACGUCCACAGGAAACAGAGGCAACAUGCCUGUGACAUGUGCUCUGAGACCAAGAAAACGGCAGAGACCCGGCUUGAGGUGCUGUGGAGUCCCUGCGGGAGACGAGGAAGACGAAUCUGGCUGUUAUGGAGACUCAGCGACGCUGCGUGCUUGUAAUUUUCUUCUGACCCUAAUGGCUCCGGUUUCCCCUCAGUAUUUAAGCGGAACAAGACAGAGAUUCAUUAAAUCCUGCUGAGGGUGGAGCUAAUGGAAGGAGCAGGUGCCUGGUUCCAAGAUGGCAG